AGAUUCCGAAGGCCUGAGGACUUGGCACAAAAUGAGGAGGCAGAGGAUGAUGACACAAACUUACAGACUGGGACUCCAAGGAUCAGCCAGAUGAAAUGCUAUGUCCAGAGUCUUCAUUUCCCAGCUCAGUGGUGGACAGCAGAGGACUCUGAGAAUCACCUCCCAAAUGAACUACCUUGACAUGCCCUGACCCAGGCUUUUUAUUUGGAAACCCAGGCUAGGACAGGAAUGAAGAGAAGCCAGACCUUCUGACUCGAAGAUCCAGCCACCUCUUGGGAUGCACACGUUUCUCUUCAACUGCGUGAUGUGAACUGCGUCACAUGGUCAAAUUAUAAUGAAGAAAGGAACCUCUCUUGAGUACAAAGAGCUACCUACGGUGGUCUGGAGCCGGAGGACCACAGCAUCAAAGGAUAUAAGAUGCAUAGCCAACUGAGGAACCUGAGCAAUUAAAGAGAUCCACAGUUAAGUCACACUUAACUGGCACUUGUGGAAGCCCCGCAAGGCCUGAAGGAGAGCUGACAUAGGCACCCCAGAGAGCCAGAAUCUGGAUCCCAUCUUAAUAAGGCCAUGAACACCAGUGGAGAAGAGGUAGAAACACCAAUGGAUAAGGAACAUUCACAUCUUUCUUCCCACGUGCCUCUAAGUGCCAGUGCAGGCCCCACAGGCCAAGCUACAGGGAGAAAGGAGAUGACGCAAAGGAACCUAACUGGACUUUAAUCACUAGAAGUGAGAAG
rnacentral:lncRNA from 1 species